GACAUUUAGAAAUGAAUUUAUGAAUUUAUGAAUUCAUUUUACUUUUUUUUUUUUUUUGUUGAGUUAUUUGGUGGUUUCUGUUUGUAUGAUGUGAUUGAAUUGGGGUUUGGGUUUUUUCUUUCCUUCGUUAUUUGGCAGCCUUGGCCGCCUGAGAUCGGUGCCUAACUUUUACUGUAAAUAAUGCUGAUUGAUUGGGAAUCUUGAAUUGGAUUUUCUCUGUUUCUUUUUUUGGUAUCAAAGUGUUUUGGAAAGAAUGAAUUAAUUUAAUAUUCAAGACUUAGUCCAUAUAUAAUGCUAUAUUAUAUCAAAAUUUAAUCAGUAGGAAAUGAAAUUUUUCCCUUGGGAUGUUGCUUUUUCUUAGUAUAUGGAUGAUGGUAGGGUAGAUGAGCAACUCUGCAAAUGUUUUUUUUUUCCCCUCAUAUAUUUAGAUGAUAUGAUAUGAUAUGAAUCAUAUGAGGAUGGAGGAGGGAUGCAAAUAUUCUGUACUUUCUGUAGAAUCAUGAUUCUGAAUGAUAGAAACCCAACCAUUACUCUAUUUAUUUGAAUUUGAAUGUGUACCCAUGUAGAAGCGUGUACAUGUCGAAAGCCGGUUGUUGUUUUGGUUUACUUCAGCCUGCAUCUAGCUAGUUCUGGUAUGACAUGAUACUAAUUUUUUACAAUAAGUAGGCUUUCAGUCAAACGGUUCAUGUAUUAAGCCUUUUUUUCUUUUCAAAUUAGGUUUGGUUUGUCUCAUUGUUGUUUGGUAUGAUUUGUUUGUAUUAUCUUUGCUUGCUUAAAACAAACUUUAAAUUGUUGUGGACUAUUUGAGUGCUGUUUUAUUGUUGUGUUAAUGUUAUUUCUUAAAAUAGAUGUCCAUGGGGAGUCCAUAUUUAACUCCAUCGUCAUUAAGUGAAGAUGGGGAUAUGGAGUUGGAGGAAAAAAAAACAGCAUCAGCAGCAUUCUUUCCAUCCUUCGGAACGCUUAAUACCUCUAAAUUUCCUAAUUUGAGUGGAUGGUGGAAGAAAAAUGAGCAGCAACAUCAUCAUCUACUAGUCUCAUAAUUUCCUUGUACCAUUUACUUGUAUAUCAAUGGCUGCCCUAAGUUGACUUCCUUCCCAUUAUAUUAACAAUUUGAAGAACUUUACCCAAAGAAUGUCAUUGAAAUAUUAUCAAGACUAUUAACCAUGACAACUGAAAGGAAGUCUGAUAAUCAACAACAUUUCCCUCUUUCUGAUCAGUUGAAGUUCUGUCUCUUGAGGGGAUCCAGGAUUUAGAAUCACUGCCCGAGAAGUGGCUGUGAGGCUUCACUUAUCUCGAGGAUGUGUUUAUUAUGUACUGCCCUAAGCAACAAAUGUCCCUGACACAACUUAGGCAACUUCUUAGCACAGUUGAAAGCUUCAGGUUUGGUAGUUCUGAGGAACAUGAUGUGUUCAAUAAUGAGGAUCAUGGCAGCAUGUGGCGGAGAUAACUUAACCUUUGCCGCCUACGCAUCCAAAAUGUGUGGUGGAAUGAAUUGACAAAGAAACAGGGAAGGUUGGCCUAAAAUUCCUCAUUUCCCGAACUUAACACAGGGCCUGGAUCCUUGCGAAAGUGAUUCAGAAACUUCGACUUCCUGAGAAAGGAAUCUAGCAGUAGGCGACGAUGAAGUAGUAGUACGAACUUAUGGAGGAACGUCAACGUUGAUGUAAUAAUGCUAGAUGGAAAUUUGUUUACCAAAUGACUCCUGCAGGCACAACAGCUGAGUAAGAGCAGCAGCACACAGGCACUAUACUUGCACACCUGAGGUUGCUCUUCAUAAUAGGCAUAGCAAUUGUUACACAAAGCAUGAAGUAGAGAAUCAUAUUUUGGAAACAUUUUCUGGAACUAUGGAUAAGAUCAAGAUUAAGACAACGUUUUUAGUUAAUUAGUUAAAGCAGUUAUGAUUCUAUUGAAACUCGUUAACAGAGCAAGUCUUUAGACAAAGCUUGUGUUUUCUUAAAGGGAGCAGAGGCCAUAUUUUUUUGGAACUUGUAACGAAGUUUUAAUUCGGAGCUUUCUCUAUUGUAUUUCUUCUUCUUUAGCCAUAAAUGGCCUUUCUUCUUCUCCAC